CCGAGGAAUCCUGGCCGUUCGCGAGUCGUAGGGGCCCCGCUUGACUAACCCCGGAGGCGCAGCGAAAGCGAGAGAGCGUGUCGGAGGGCCCCGGGCCGGGAGAGGUGUCGCGGCGAAGUCGCGGCGGCGGAGAAGUCGGGGGGGCUCGUCCCUUCUUGUCUUUUUCGUCGUCGCCUCCUAACUGCGCCCGAUUCCGCCGGGGCGGGCGUCUCCCGCCUGUGUGUUUAUUUACAAUCCCCGUCGUUAACGCGCGCAAGAACUUCUUGCGCGCGACCCGACUCCCCCCCCCCUUUUUGGGAGGGGAGGAGGAAAGAAAGGUUUCGGCGGUGGGGGGGGGGUCGUCCCUUUUUUGUCCUCCUUCCGCCCGUCGGUGGGAUCCCGCGUAGCGCGCGGGCGCACCACCCCCGGGUCGGUUUUUUUCCGAGUACGACUCGGCCGACUCUGGCGUAGCGAGCGGCCAGGGACCCGAAAGAUGGCGAUCCACGCCCGGUCGGGAUGAAGCCAGAGGAAACUCUGGUGGAAGUCCGAAGCGCCUCUGACGUGCAAAUCGAUCGUCGGAAGCGGGUGUAGGGGCGAAAGACCAAUC
rnacentral:rRNA from 1 species